GUUGACGUGCACUUUCCGCGAGUGGGUUUGACUCACUAAACAAAUGAUGGCGUCAAUCGGAAAACUAAUUGAAAAAUUCUUGAAGUGAUUGACAGUUCUGACAUGGCCAAUCAACUGCUCAGCAGCAAGGUCACUUGUCAGGCGCAGACUCUGAUUGGCUGCAGCACUCAUCGUUUCAGUGAAGCUGGAUUAAAGAGACGGACAAAAACAAGUUUAAUCCUGUUCUUGCGGCCUGUUGUCUGACAACAGAAAGGAUCAAUGAGCCGCAGGAUGUGUUUGGGUUGGUCGUGGCACACAGCAGGUUAUGUUGGACUCAUGAUCAGAUGUAUUUGGGCUGAGGCUUGUACGAGGUCAGGAGAGUAAGUCGAGCCACUGCAGGGGGUAGCAUCUGUGCACAUAUGUCUCCUGAACCCCCCGGCAUCCACUACAAUUAUUAUCAAAACCAGUUAGUCAAGGACGAUGACCACCUAGAUUAGACAACCCACUAGGAUAUGCCCACUUCACUACCAGUAGCUGCUGAACAUUGUUGUGACCUACCAACCGAUGACUGUUCAUAUGACAUCCCAACAUACCACCAGAGCAGUCAAACACAGUGAGCUGCAUGUGUAUGGAACUGUAUAAGAGACUUUUUCAUGGGAGAGCACAAUGGAGACCAACAGGAAACCAACUGAGAGUUACGGGAAAUAGGAAAUGAUGUAAA